rnacentral:tRNA from 1 species
GAGGGUAUAGCUCAGUGGUAAAGUGCGUGCUUAGCAUGCACAAAGUCCUGAGUUUAAUCCCCAGUACCUCUG